rnacentral:tRNA from 1 species
GGGUAGCCUAGUGGUCAUGGCAUCUGCCCGGUAAGCGGAAGGUCGUGGGUUUUUAUUUUAUCCAUUCUGACCA